rnacentral:rRNA from 1 species
CCUACGGGCGACAGCAGUGAGGAAUAUUGGUCAAUGGACGAGAGUCUGAACCAGCCAAGUAGCGUGAAGGAUGACUGCCCUAUGGGUUGUAAACUUCUUUUAUAUGGGAAUAAAAUGUUCCACGUGUGGGAUUUUGUAUGUACCAUAUGAAUAAGGAUCGGCUAACUCCGGUCCAGCAGCCGCGGUAAUACGGAGGAUCCGAGCGUUAUCCGGAUUUAUUGGGUUUAAAGGGAGCGUAGGUGGAUUGUUAAGUCAGUUGUGAAAGUUUGCGGCUCAACCGUAAAAUUGCAGUUGAAACUGGCAGUCUUGAGUACAGUAGAGGUGGGCGGAAUUCGUGGUGUAGCGGUGAAAUGCUUAGAUAUCACGAAGAACUCCGAUUGCGAAGGCAGUUCACUGGACUGCAACUGACACUGAGGCUCGAAAGUGUGGGUAUCAAACAGGAUUAGAUACCCCAGUAGUC